rnacentral:lncRNA from 1 species
UAUGCAACACUUUUAGUGAUUCUCUCCACUUUCAACAUGCAGCUUCAAAUGUUAGGUAGUAAAACAACUUAAGUCGCAAAUAAAAACUGGAAAAUAGAGUUGAAUAUCAGAAAAAGUAGCUGCUGAAGAAGCUUUCAUUUGGCUAAUAUUUGUCUAAAUAUACUGUCUUUGGAUAUAAAUUCACUUGAUGCUGACAUGACAAAAUUCAAUUGUGGUGCUGUGAAACUAACUUGGUUUUGUUGAAUCCCUGAGAAGUGGCGGAACUUGAGGACUUGGGUACUACUAGUUUGACUAGAUGACAAAGGCAAAUAGGCUGCCAACUUGACCAAAUCCUGACAAACCAGAUUUGGCUCGGAGUAGGCGAUGAUUUGACGAUGACAUGACCAGACAAUGAACUAGUAUUGAUUCUGCAAUAACUUAUCGCUGACUGGACAAAAGUUAUUUGAUGACUUGACAGGUCAGCCGACGUGAACAUAUAACAUAAAAGAUAGACAUCGGAAAAAUGUGUGCUGCUGGAGUGGUAAUUGGAAAUAUACCAGAAUAGUAAAGCGUGAAGGGAAUAAAAUCAUUGGUCAGGUGGGCAGCGUAAGGCCACUCUCCUGGAUGCAGAAUCUGUUUAGAUCUCUACCAAAAUCGUGGAGGCUUUGAUACCAUAUGAGAAGAGAAGAAAAAAGAGAGUUUAUUAUCGAUUGUUUUUGAAGUCUUUUUUUAUGUCUUUGCCAAGUCUUUAGUCUUUCUUUCUCUGGUUAAUUUCCUUUUUUCUUCUUUUUCC